rnacentral:SRP_RNA from 1 species
CCGGGAGAGCAGGCGGACAAGCCCCUCGCCAAUCCGGUCAGGUCCGAGAGGAAGCAGCCGUAACGAGUCCGGUUUGGGUCGUUUUGUUCUCCCACCUU